ensembl:lncRNA
GAACGGCCUUGGCCCCGAGUUGCUCCCGUGGCCAUCCUAACUCUCCGUUAAUGUUACUAAAUUACUCAGUUGUCACUGUCCACAGUGAAGGAGCAGCAAGGGCUCGGGCUGGCAGGGUCGUUGUCCCUGAAGCCCUGCGCUUCCUUUCCCCAGCUGUAACGGACUCAAGUAAAGAGUCUUCAGCUCUGGGUCUUGAAAGCCCUUAGAUCACGAUAAUGAAAUUUCAGCCAAGCAAUCUCGCAAAUGGAAGCGCUGUGAACUGCUUGGCCUGACCCUCAGUCUUUGCCCUUUUGCAGAAUCUAAGCAUUUGCUUGUGGCCUUUAUCUUCACUCUGGAAGCUUGAGAAAACUGCACAGCGAACAGAGUCACUACACAGCUAGCCCCAGUUGUUCAUGCACAUUACAGAGAGUCACCAAAAAUCUAGGUGGCUUCUUCCACAGGCAAGACAAUGACGUAACAGCUGUCAGAUUGCCCCUUCUGCCAGAGUGAACCCAACCCAAAGAAACAGAAAGCAGAGACAGCGAUGAAAGAAUGGCAUUUAC